UACGGAGGGUGCAAGCGUUAUCCGGAUUCAUUGGGUUUAAAGGGAGCGUAGGUGGCCUUAUAAGUCAGUGGUGAAAUCUCUCAGCUUAACUGAGAAAUUGCCAUUGAUACUGUAGGGCUUGAGUAUAGUUGCCGUUGGCGGAAUAUGACAUGUAGUGGUGAAAUACAUAGAGAUGUCAUAGAACACCGAUUGCGAAGGCAGCUGACGAAACUAUAACUGACACUGAGGCUCGAAAGUGCGGGGAUCAAACAGG
rnacentral:rRNA from 1 species